GGAAGAAAGGCAAUGAUGGCAUCAUAGACACUGUCCCCUGGGACUCCAGUCCACUCUGGCUUGUGGAAGUGCAGCUCCCCAAAGUCUCCUGAAGAGAAACUGAGAAUUUGGGAAACAGUCCAAGCAGAAGGUGUCUGAACUCACCAAUGACAAGCAAAGUACCUUCCUCUGGAGCACCAUUGACUGAGACAACCAAGGCUUCAAGCAACUCCCUGUUUCUGAAAUGGAUCUGCUAUGAUUUUCAUAUACCUGAGUGCGAUUGACUCACUCAGAGUUUUUUAAUCUUUCACUUAAUGUCCCAGGAAAAAAUAUAUUAACAUCAUCAUGCGUGAAGUUAGAGAGCAGAACCCUCAGUAAAUGGGGGUGAGAUCCUGGGAAAAUCACUUAACUUCUUUGCCUCAGUUUUCAAUCUAUAAUAUGGAAGUAAUUACACUUGCCUCAGGAAACUAACAGGCU